AGAGCUCGUAGGCGGUUUGUCGCGUCUGCUGUGAAAACUGGAGGCUCAACCUCCAGCCUGCAGUGGGUACGGGCAAACUAGAGUGCGGUAGGGGAGAUUGGAAUUCCUGGUGUAGCGGUGGAAUGCGCAGAUAUCAGGAGGAACACCGAUGGCGAAGGCAGAUCUCUGGGCCGUAACUGACGCUGAGGAGCGAAAGCAUGGGGAGCGAACAGGAUUAGAUACCCUGGUAGUCCAUGCCGUAAACGUUGGGCGCUAGAUGUGGGGACCAUUCCACGGUUUCCGUGUCGCAGCUAACGCAUUAAGCGCCCCGCCUGGGGAGUACGGCCGCAAGGCUAAAACUCAAAGGAAUUGACGGGGGCCCGCACAAGCGGCGGAGCAUGCGGAUUAAUUCGAUGCAACGCGAAGAACCUUACCAAGGCUUGACAUUUACGAGAACGCUGCAGAAAUGCAGAACUCUUUGGACACUCGUAAACAGGUGGUGCAUGGUUGUCGUCAGCUCGUGUCGUGAGAUGUUGGGUUAAGUCCCGCAACGAGCGCAACCCUCGUUCUAUGUUGCCAGCGCGUUAUGGCGGGAACUCAUAGGAGACUGCCGGGGUCAACUCGGAGGAAGGUGG
rnacentral:rRNA from 1 species